rnacentral:rRNA from 1 species
UAACGGCCUACCAAGGCUCCGAUCGGUAGCUGGUCUGAGAGGAUGAUCAGCCACACUGGGACUAAGACACGGCCAAGACUCCUACGGGAGGCAGCAGUGGGGAAUAUUGGACAAUGGGCGAAAGCCUGAUCCAGCAAUGCCUCGUGUGUGAAGAAGGUCUUCGGAUUGUAAAGCACUUUCGACGGCGACGAUGAUGACGGUACCCGUAUAAGAAGCCCCGGCUAACUUCGUGCCAGCAGCCGCGGUAAUACGAAGGGGGCUAGCGUUGCUCGUAUUGACUGGGCGUAAAGGGCGCGUAGGCGGCUUGUACAGUAAGACGUGAAAUUCCUGGGCUCAACCUGGCGGCUGCGUUUGAUACGUGCGGGCUUGAGUUCGGAAGAGGGUCGUGGUAUUCCCAGUGUAGAGGUGAAAUU